UCCCCUGUGGCGCAAUAGGCAGCGCGUCUGACUGUUAUAUGACAUUGAAUAGUAAUCAGGAGGUUGAUAGUUCGAACCUAUCCGGGGGAG